rnacentral:rRNA from 1 species
UGGGGAAUAUUGCACAAUGGGCGCAAGCCUGAUGCAGCCAUGCCGCGUGUGUGAAGAAGGCCUUCGGGUUGUAAAGCACUUUCAGCGGGGAGGAAGGCGAUAAGGUUAAUAACCUUGUCGAUUGACGUUACCCGCAGAAGAAGCACCGGCUAACUCCGUGCCAGCAGCCGCGGUAAUACGGAGGGUGCAAGCGUUAAUCGGAAUUACUGGGCGUAAAGCGCACGCAGGCGGUCUGUCAAGUCGGAUGUGAAAUCCCCGGGCUCAACCUGUGAACUGCAUUCGAAACUGGCAGGCUAGAGUCUUGUAGAGGGGGAUAGAAUUCCAGGUGUAGCGGUGAAAUGCGUAGAGAUCUGGAGGAAUACCGGUGGCGAAGGCGGCCCCCUGGACAAAGACUGACGCUCAGGUGCGAAAGCGUGGGGAGCAAACAGG